CCUACGGGGGGCAGCAGUGGGGAAUAUUGGACAAUGGGGGGAACCCUGAUCCAGCCAUGCCGCGUGUGUGAAGAAGGCCCUCGGGUUGUAAAGCACUUUCAGUGAGGAAGAACGCCUGGUGGUUAAUACCCAUCAGGAAAGACAUCACUCACAGAAGAAGCACCGGCUAACUCCGUGCCAGCAGCCGCGGUAAUACGGAGGGUGCGAGCGUUAAUCGGAAUUACUGGGCGUAAAGCGCGCGUAGGUGGCUUGAUAAGCCGGUUGUGAAAGCCCCGGGCUCAACCUGGGAACGGCAUCCGGAACUGUCAAGCUAGAGUGCAGGAGAGGAAGGUAGAAUUCCCGGUGUAGCGGUGAAAUGCGUAGAGAUCGGGAGGAAUACCAGUGGCGAAGGCGGCCUUCUGGACUGAAACUGACACUGAGGUGCGAAAGCGUGGGUAGCAAACAGGAUUAGAUACCCGUGUAGUC
rnacentral:rRNA from 1 species